rnacentral:rRNA from 1 species
AAGGCCUGACGCUAGGAGAGGAGUUCGCGGCCUAUCAGCUAGUUGGCGGGGUAACGGCCCACCAAGGCGAUGACGGGUAGCUGGUCUGAGAGGACGACCAGCCACACUGGAACUGAGACACGGUCCAGACACCUACGGGUGGCAGCAGUCGAGAAUUUUUCACAAUGGGGGAAACCCUGAUGAAGCGACGCCGCGUGGGGGAUGAAUGGCUUCGGCCCGUAAACCCCUGUCAUUUGUGAACAAACCUUUCCGCUGAACAAGCGGGAAGCUGAUUGUAACGGAAGAGGAAGGGACGGCUAACUCUGUGCCAGCAGCCGCGGUAAUACAGAGGUCCCAAGCGUUGUUCGGAUUCACUGGGCGUAAAGGGUGCGUAGGUGGCCGGGUAAGUCUGAUGUGAAAUCUCGGAGCUCAACUCCGGAACGGCAUUGGAUACUAUCCGGCUGGAGGGUCGGAAGGGGGACUGGAAUUCUCGGUGUAGCAGUGAAAUGCGUAGAUAUCGAGAGGAACACCAGUGGCGAAGGCGAGUCCCUGGACGACUCCUGACACUGAGGCACGAAAGCUAGGGGAGCAAACAGGAUUAGAUACCCUGGUAGUCCACGCCGUAAACGAUGGAUGCUAGCCGUUGUCGGGUUUACCCGUCAGUGGCGCAGCUAACGCAUUAAGCAUCCCGCCUGGGGAGUACGGUCGCAAGAUUAAA